rnacentral:lncRNA from 1 species
AGCUUUUCCCAGCCAAAGGAGAGAAGGGAAGGAUGAGCCCCCAACUUCCUCCUUCCUGGGUGUGGCUUCCUUCACAACCCAGACUCUUGGCAUCCUCUUGUUCACUCCCACCCACCCAGCUUGUUGUCAAACCUUUUCGCUAAUGAAGACAUAAAUAGCUCACAAUGCUUGACAGGAGGCUUCUCUUAGCAGUUCUGUGUUUUCACCUGGACCACACACUAAAACAAAGGACUAACCCAAGGUGUUGGAACCAGUGUUUAAAUUGUGAAAGAUCAUUGCUUCAAGAUGCUGGGACGGCUCUGACAACGAAGAAGGAAAGACAUCAUGGAAGAUUUUUUUUCUCCACAGAAGAAAAGAACACUGACAGCAAGAAAAAUAUCUGUGUGUUCUCUAAGUACGUAAUCUCUAAUUUUUUUUUUAAUUCACUUAGGAAACUUUGAAAAACAAGAUCUAUUUGAUACCUGAUCUUAAUUUUUUAAACCAUGAAUCAAAAUACUUGGAAAGGAGACUGUAGUUAAGAUGAAUACAGAAGAGGAAUGGUGGAAUUCUUUUCCCUAUGAGUUGGGACAUUAAUGUUGGAGGGAGAGAAUCAAAGUUGUUAUGACUCUUAGACAAAGAAAGAAGAAGCGAACUUGAAUCUCCUUGUCAACAGGCAUUUUAUGGCUCAAAUGAUAAAACACAGAGUGUUCAAACUCUUCUAGCCAAGUGUUCCAUACAGUGGAGUACCAAAGAAACACUCUUCUGAAGGCUCCUGUUACAUGAUAUUCCUUGUCAUUGUCAAUAGUAAAUCCGACAACAGGUCAGAAACAUUCAUGGUCCUCAUUAACAUUCCCCCUAGGUCUCAGUUUGCGUCUCUUUAUCUUUUUUCUAGCUCCGAAUGGAAGUUUCCUGGGAAACCUUUCCUGUGAAUGGAAUGUAUGAGGUUUGUCCCAUGACAGACAAAUAAAAAACACAAGAAACUACAACAGAAAACUUCUUCCCCUGAAAUAUUGCAGUCAGGAGCAGAUAACACCUAUCUUUUUUCAAGGACAUGUAGAGAUUCCAACCCUCUGGUGUUCAGUGACACUAAGAAUGUUAUUCCCUCAAUUUAACAGCAGAGCUUCUUUUCUUACUGAUAAAAAAAUUUAAAAAGGGUUUAAAUUACUUAAGUAAAAAGAACUAUGGUGGGGCCUUCUCAGUCAUAGAUAAGCAUCAGCUCUUGCUGAUCUGCUGUAUUGUCAGCAAAGUAAUGGCUCAGUUUGUGUAUUGUUCUCCUUGUGCCAAACAGAAGGGAGAGUAAACCUUAUCCACAGGCUCCUGUUACCAGCAGACACUGGCUUCCGUCAGAGGCGGGUUCUGGGGAAACAGUUUUCACAUUCACCAAUUAAAAGAAGGGAAAUAGCCAACAUUUGCACAACUUAUAGAUAUACCCCAUCCCAAUAAACCUUGAGUUUUUGUCUAUGCAUUGUUGUCUAAUUAAAAAAAAAAGAGCAAUGAGCGAGAGGGAGAAUACACAGGCUACUACUGAACUGUGUUGCUAACAGAAGAAAGUUGAGGGGUCGGGUGGGGACGGACAACCAGUGAUUAAAAUCAGGCUUUUAUUUGAAAUUCUGACUACUUUUCUGUAGCAGCUUCCAUGCUAACUUAUACAUUCUGUUCCUAAGCUGGGUGAAGCAUGUCUUUUUUUUUUUUUUAAAACAGCUUUAUUGAGAUAUAAUUUAUGUACUAUAAAAUUCACCUGUUUAAAGUACGUUUUAGUUUAUUUAUGCAUUUGUGAAACCAUCACCAUAAUCUAAUUUUAGAAUGCUUUUGUGACUCCAAAAGGAAAAGCAGUACUCAUCUGCUGUCAUUCCCCAUGCUUCUCUCCCUCACCAGCUGUAAGCAAUGACAAAUCUACUUUCUGUCUCUAUAGAUUUGUCUAUUGAAUCUUUCAUACAGAAACAUGCAGUAUGUGGUCUUUUGUGAUUGAUUUCUUUCACUUAACAUAACGCUUUCAAGGUGCGUCCAAGCUGUAGCAGUACUACAUUUCUUUUUCUUGCUGAAUACUAUUCCAUUGUGUGAAUAUAACACAUUUUAUUUAUCCAUUCAUCAACUGAUCGACAUUCGGAUUGUUCCUACUUUUGGGCUAUUAUGAAAGAUACCACUAGGAACAUAAGGGUAUGUUUUGUGUUGACAUCUAUUUUCGUUUCUGUUUGCUAUUUACCUGAGAGUGGAAUUACUGAGUCGUAUGGUAACUUUGUGUUUAAUAUUUUGAGGAACUCUCAAUUGUUUUCCAAAAUGGCUGAUUCAUUUUACAUUUUCACCAACAAUGUAUGAGGAUAAGACAUGUCUUUUCGCAAUUUUCUCCUGUUUAUAGAUUCUAAAGCUCUGUGAAAGAUUAGAAAUAUAGCAGGCAGUUCAUUUGCACACAUUUAGGAAGUCUCCUUUCUCUUCCCAAACUAAAAAUAUUUCUGUUGUCUAAUG